rnacentral:sRNA from 1 species
AUGGGAUGGAGUCCAGGAAGUUGCCCGCUCUUUACCCCCUUCUCCGAGGGGGCGGCUUUGCAUUUUUACCAUCUUCCAGGUAUGUGCGGGAGAAGACCAAGACUGGGGUGGACAUGCGUGUGGGGGUGCACACGGGCACCGUGCUGGGGGGCGUCCUGGGCCAGAAGCGCUGGCAGUACGACGUGUGGUCGACUGAUGUCACUGUAGCCAACAAGAUGGAGGCCGGCGGCAUCCCUGGGCGCGUGCACAUCUCCCAGAGCACCAUGGACUGCCUGAAAGGGGAGUUUGAUGUGGAGCCAGGCGAUGGGGGCAGCCGCUGUGAUUACCUAGAAGAGAAGGGUAUUGAAACCUACCUCAUCAUUGCCUCCAAGCCAGAGGUGAAGAAAAUAGCCACCCAGAAUGGCCUCAAUGGCUCGGCCCUGCCCAAUGGAGCGCCAGUUUCCUCAAAGUCCAGCUCCCCUGCCCUCAUUGAGACCAAGGAGCCCAAUGGGAGUGCCCACAGCAGCGGGUCCAUGUCAGAGAAGCCCGAGGAGCAGGAUGCCCAGGCCGACAACCC